rnacentral:lncRNA from 1 species
AGGAGGACAUGCGGUGGAUGGUUGUCGUGAGUUUAUGCCAGCUGGAACCGAAGGUACCAUCGACGCCCUAAAAUGCGCCGCUUGUGGCUGUCACCGUAACUUCCACCGCAAGGAAUUACCUUACUUCCACCACCUCGCGCCGCCGCCGCCGCGGGGAUUCUACCGCCUUCCAGCUCCGGUGAGUUACAGACCAUCACCGUCACAAGCUUCUCCUGUCCAGCUGGCUCUUCCUCCACCAGCAGAAGAUCGAAUGGAGACUUCUUCUGCGGAGGCAGGAGGGAUGAGGAAGAGGUUUAGGACUAAGUUCACGGCGGAGCAGAAGGAGAGGAUGUUAGGUUUAGCUGAGAGGAUUGGUUGGAGAAUUCAGAGACAAGAUGAUGAAGUGAUUCAGAGGUUUUGCCAAGAGACUGGAGUUCCGAGACAAGUGCUUAAGGUUUGGUUACAUAACAACAAACACACUCGUGGUAUGUCGUCUUCAUCACCACUUGAUCACCAUCAGAAUCCAACUCUUCCUCCUCCUCCAUGAACAAGAGCAACCAUGCAUGAUUCUUGAGUUUCUCGAUCACUACUAUUGUUUAGUUUGUACCCAUCUUCGUUUGAUAACGAUGUUGUUGAUUAUCAUUCUGGUUAAUUGCGUUUUUCGUUAUUAACAUCCAUAGUCUCUUGGCAAAUCCUUGAGUUGUCUAAGCUAUUUAUUAGUCAGGUCUUUAGUAACAUCACAUGUGUCAGUGUUUUUUUUUUUUUGAAUAAAUGUUAAAUUAAUUCAAGAAAAAAACUUUUUUACAAUGACUGCAACAUAAGUUGAGUGUUUAGAGUGUUUCUUAAGCAUGUGUCAGUGUUUAAACUUUAACUUUAGCAUGUUUGUCUAUGAAUUUAUAUAUACAUAUAAACUCGUGUAUUUAUAUUAGUGUGUAUUCGUUAGUGCAUGAUUACUGUUUUUGUGUGUAAUCUUCUCCGUUAGUGCUUCCUUAAUUAGCACUGCUUGACAUUGUUCUUAUUUCUUAAGUUCUUGGUGUCUGAAGAGUUAUUAUAUUUACUUGCUUCACCAUUAAUAUUUCCCAUAUACACACGCAUUUAUAGAUCUGAUCAUGUUCUUGUUUCUGAAGUUCUACGUUUGUAAGAGUUAAUAUAUUUUCUUGAUCAUCAUUUUGCACACACACACACAAAGAUAUUAGAAAAUAUAUAUCUGGGGAAGGUGACAUGUGGGCUCUUUGGAAGCAUGAAGGAGAAGAGAUAAAAACAUAUGGGCACACGUACAAAACUACAUGGUAUCAAUGACGCUGUUCUACCAAAUCCCUACACUCUCACAUGAAAUCAGUUUUGUUUUUCUAGUUAAAGAACAUUAAUCAUUUUUUAUUUCACUUUUUGUUUGUUUAAUUUCUACAUACAUACUACUCAAAAGUUAAUUUUGAUAAUAAAAAAAGAAGAAGUUAAUUUGGGUCAUUUUACAUUUAUUUUCAUAGAGAAAUGACCUUUUCCAUUUGAUAUGUAUAUUUAAUAUCCUCUUAAACAAAUCAUUUUAGUAGUAAUAACGGCAAAUUGAAGAAGUUAUAUUAAAUGUACAAGUGAUUGAGCCUCGUAGUUUUAUUCAAAUUAACGGGUUGUGAAAAACUCCAGAUACCAAAUGGAAAAAAAGUAAAUUCAAACUAAAUUCUUUUAGUAAAAAAAAACUAAAUUCAAAUGAAUGAAUUAGGGUUUCUAGUUACGACGGGUUCGACUGGUGACCAUUCUGAAAACAAUUGGAACAAAUAGAAAAUGAACGUAAAGGAAUGAAAUUGCAGGAAUAAAAAAGAAUGGUUGUUCUUUCUUAAAUUUAACAAAGAAUACUUUUGUUCUUUAUUUCUCUAAAAAAAAGAAUUGUAGGGAAUGAGAAGAAAAAUUUAUUCCUUGCGAAUGGUGAUAUUUUUAGGAACGUUAGGGAAUGCAUUAUUCCUCGCCGUUCCCUGGUCACCAUUCAUAAUGUAAUUAGACUUAUUCUUGGGUUCACCCUCUAGUGUGAACCUCUAGGUUCACCAACCAAUAGGAUUGUGUUAUUUUAUAUUUGAUAUCUUUUAAAAAAAGAAACAAAAUAUUGUCAAAUUAUAUUAUUUUUUCAAAAUUAAAAGAUAAAAAGAAAUAAAUAAAAAAUAGUAUUAAUUACAAAAAAAAAUAUUUUUAACGUCGUCGGCAAAACAUUAAACCCUAAAUCCUAAUCCCUAAACCUUAAAUUCUAAACCCUAAACUCUUGGGUAAACCCUAAACUCUAGGAUAAAUCUUAAACUCUAAAUCAAAAUCACUAAACAUUAAAACACUCAAGGGUUUAGGGUUUAGAAUUUAGGGUUUAGAGUUUAGGGUUUAAUGUUUUUAUUUAGAGUUUAGGAUUUAGGGUUUUUGAGUUGUAGGGUUUAGUGUUUUUAUUUAGAGUUUAUGAUUUAUCCAAGGGUUUAGGGUUUACCCAGGGGUUUAGAGUUUAUCCAAUGGUUUAGGGUUUAAAAUUUAGGGUUUAGGGAUUAGGGUUUAGUGUUUUGCUAACGACGUAAAAUAUAUUUUUUAAUUUUUUCUUCUGUAACUACUAAUUUUGUUUUACUUUUUUUUUUUUAUUUUAAAAACAUAAUAUAAUUUAACAAUAUUUUAUUUUUUUUAAAGAUAACGAAUUUGAAAUAAUGAAAUUCUAUUGAGGUUUGAUACUAUAGGUGAACAUAAAAGUAACUCAUGUAAUUAUAUGCAGAAGAAAGAGGGAACCAAAAUGAUUGAAAAAGGAAAGAAGACGGAGANNNNNNNNNNNNNNNNNNNNNNNNNNNNNNNNNNNNNNNNNNNNNNNNNNNNNNNNNNNNNNNNNNNNNNNNNNNNNNNNNNNNNNAAUACCAUGAUUCACUACCUACACUCAUCUAUGUUGAAAACAAAUCAAUUUUGUUAUAUUUUAAUUUAUAUCACUUAAAACUGUUUAUAAUUACAUGAUUUUAAUUUUUCGCUUAUCAAAAUAUUUUUUUUAAAAUUUAAAAAUUAUUUUUAAGAUCAGCUACACCAGAAUACUUACUUUGAAGUCGUCUGGACGACUUCCAACAUCUCAGACGACUCCGACGACUUACUAGGGCUAUAUUCGUAAAUGGCUUCUGUUUUUUUGUUUGGUCACAAGGGGAUGAGCUGUAAUUUCACAAGGUUUUUAGGUUAGUUUUGCAUUUGAUUCAAGUUUGAGUAUAUGUUUGGGGUUAAAAUCAAGUUGUGGGUUAGUUUUGGGAAAUUCCCACAAAUAGAUUUUAUUAAGUUAGUUUCCGAAGAAUAUUCAGUAAAAACUCUAUAAUAAUGUAAGGACUAAUAGAUUUUAUUUAGUUAUAGAAUUAUUAAUAUAGAAAAAAAUCAUUUUUCAAAUUUUUCUAUCUUAAAUAUAUAUAUUUUCUAAAAUAAGAAAAAUAUUUGAUUUUUGUACAUUUACAUUACUUCAAUUUUUGAAAUUCGACAUUUAUAUUUUUGGCGUAUAUAAAAUAUAUUCAUAGAUUUUAAAUGUGGCUUUAGAUAUAAUUUUACUAAAUCUCAUCAAAAUAUAUUAAGUACUAAGAAAAUAUAAAAAAAUCCAUAGUAAAGAUAAAAUAAACAAUAUAAUAGUUUUUAUGCAUACAUAAAACAUAUAUACAUGUAAAUUGUUAAUUUAAUAAGAUUAUAUAUUUACAUACAAUUUUCUAAGAAAAUAUUAUCUUAUUAUCUUAUCAAUUUAUGUUAUAUUUUGAAUUAGUUUAAUUUACCGGAGAAAUUUAUUAAUCUAUAGUGUUUAUUAUUUUAUUGAAUAAUAAGUGUAAUGUUUUUUUUACGCUGAUUUAUUAUGAUCUUACAAUUCUGAUAUGAGAAAGAUUACAUAGACGAUUCGACAACCGACAAUACUACCUGUCUUCUGAGACCUACGCCUAACUGCAUCACCUGAGCCGUCCUAUGAAGAUCCACGCCUGAUCAGAUUUACUUGCAUCAUGUUGAAGAUCUCUUGUAAGCUUUUCUUCCGUAGUCUACAUAAUUGUUUAAUAAAUCGCUUUCUUCGGGACUUAAAACUUGGAUUUAUUGUAAUCAGCAAAAUAAUACAAUAUUUUGUUUUAUUUAUAAUGAAUUGUAAUUUUUUUUGAAAAGUCGCCAACAAAAAUUCAGACCUUGAAAUUAUUAAGGGCAUUACUGAUUUCGAUGUGAUUAGACUGCCCAUCACUUUAUUGCAGAAAUAUUAAUGCAUUUAUAUUAUACCAUUGGCAUAUGGACAAAAAUAAUUAUCACGUUUAUUUAAAUUUUAUUCACUUUCUUAUUUCCCAAAAAGCUAUCCUAACACCAAAUUGACUGAAAUAGUGAUACUAACUAAUUAAUUAUAUUGGCUCUACUGCUUAGUUGACAAAAACAAGGCUACAUUGUUUUAAUUAUAGUAUUACUGUUGAAGUUAUAUUUAAAACUAGAAAGGUAAAACAAUGUAAAGAUAAAAGAAAGUCUAACAAAAUGUAGUUGAGGCAUAUUUAUUAGAUUACGAUCUCCAAUAGCAAAAUAUAUAUCUUUCAUUUUUAUAAGACAUGAUAGUUUUGACUCAAUACGCAUAUAUUUUUUCUUUUAUCUUUUCUAGAAAAUAUUAUUAAAAUAAGAUAUAAAAUUAAUUUAUGUAAUUAUAAAUAAAAUAGUGAAAUAUAAUUUACUACAUAAUUUUGAUAAAAUUAAACUCUUAUUUAAAUAUAUUAAAACAUUUUUUUUUUAAACAUGUAUGAAAUAACAACAAAAAUCUUCAAAAACAUCUUUAAAUAUUUAAAUAUUGAACAUAAACCCUUUCUCAAAAGCUAAAGAGAUAAAAGAGAAAGAGAUAACCUCUAGUUCACAAUCUCCACUUGACUCGAUGAACUUUGAAGACAACAGCAACGACGAGGAAGAAGAAGAAAUGAAUCUUCACGAGGAAGAAGAAGACAACGCCGUUUACGACUCUCCUCCUCUUCCUCCAUCGCCCCGCGUCCUCAAGGCCUCUACUGAAAGUCCUAACACCGCCGGAACAAACUCAACGGGCGGUGGAGGUUUGAUGGUGGUUCACGGCGGUUCUAGGUUCAGGUUCCGUGAGUGUCUCAAGAAUCAAGCGGUGAACAUAGGAGGACAUGCGGUGGAUGGUUGUCGUGAGUUUAUGCCAGCUGGAACCGAAGGUACCAUCGACGCCCUAAAAUGCGCCGCUUGUGGCUGUCACCGUAACUUCCACCGCAAGGAAUUACCUUACUUCCACCACCUCGCGCCGCCGACGCCGCCGGGAGCCUACCGUCUUCCAGCUCCGAUGAGUUACCGACCAUCACCGCCACAAGCUUCUCCUGUCCAGCUGGCUCUUCCUCCACC